rnacentral:rRNA from 1 species
UAAGGAAUAUUGGGCAAUGGAGGCAACUCUGACCCAGCCAUCCCGCGUGAAGGAUUAAGGCCCUAUGGGUUGUAAACUUCUUUUGCUUGGGAAGAAAUCUGGACAUUUAUGUGCAGUUGACGGUACCUUGCGAAUAAGCACCGGCUAACUCCGUGCCAGCAGCCGCGGUAAUACGGAGGGUGCAAGCGUUAUCCGGAAUCACUGGGUUUAAAGGGUGCGUAGGCGGCUUGAUAAGUCAGAGGUGAAAGCUGGCAGCUUAACUGUCAAAUUGCCUUUGAUACUGUUGAGCUUGAAUCAGGUUGAGGUAGGCGGAAUGUGACAUGUAGCGGUGAAAUGCAUAGAUAUGUCAUAGAACACCAAUUGCGUAGGCAGCUUGCUGGGCCUGAAUUGACGCUGAGGC